AUGCCAUUGUUGUCUUAUGAACCUAUUGCUACAUAACAAACUGCCCAAAACUUGGUGGUUUAAAGCAGCAACCAUUUAUUGGGCUCACAGGUCUCUGGGUCAACAAUAUGGGCUGUGUGCAACUGGUCUCUCUCACAUGUCUGUGGUCAGCUUCCUUCCACGGAGUCCAAUGUCUUGGGUCAUUGGCUGGUGGUUGGCUGGGGCCACCUCCUUCUCACCCUCCAGCAGACUGGUCCAGGCUUGUUCCUAUGGAGACUGGCAGGGUUCUAACAGUAUGAUUAGAGAAGCUGCAAAACCUCUUGAUGCCCAGGCUCAGAGCUGAUGCGACGUCAUUUCGGCCACAUCCUAUUGGCCAGAACCUGUCACAAGGCCCUGCCCAGGCUCAAAGGGUAAGGAAAUAGACCCAGCCACUGAUGAGAGAGACCACAUUCCAACCAAGGAUGCCCACAGAAUGGGGUGGAUAAUAUUAGCAAACAUCUACGAUUAUAUCUCCAAUAAUUCUGGGAAUGAGGAAAACGAAGUUCAACAUGUUCUUAUAAACCCCUGUAGGUUGCAGAUGUGUUCGAGUGCAUUGUGUGUGGUGUCCUGACAAAGCCCUUUUGGUUUUGUGUGUCACGAGGGCUUGGUGCGCUGAGAAUCAGCCUUGGGGAGCACCGCUCUCCCGCUUCGAAUUCCCAGCCGGAAUAAAGGAAGGCAUCUGUUUUCAUAAUUUAGGGGAUAAAGUGCCAUCGCUAGGGCAGACAUUUUUGUGGGGAAGGUUGUCUUGUUUUAUAGGAGGGUUGACAGGGGAAAUUAAGCCCCAUUUAGUCCCUCGACCUUUGGUUUCCAAACUGGAAAGAGCACAGUGUGUGUUCCAAUAGCCUCCCUGAAGUCAUUAUUGCUUCAGAGCCAGCUGAAUUGCUUGAUAAUAGCGAUUCUUUGCACUUGUAGAAUGUGUUUCCUCUGAGGAGGGCCAAGUAAUUUACAAUCACUUAUUAAUUAAUCCUCAGUCCCCUGCAUGAGAUGCGGCUGCGAUGCGGCUGCGUCAUUGUGUAUCUUUGACAGAUGUGUGAAGUGGCCAAAGGGAGACGAAGCGACAUUAAGCCUCUGCCCAAGGUCACUUGUCUAACUCAUUGGACACCGUCCCAGUUCCACCAGCCUCCCCAUCCACCCUGCAAGCCUUUCCCACAGAAGCGCUGGAAUUUCUCGGGGCUGGUUCCAGCCAUUGCAGAAAGCCUGACUUUUUCAGAUCAAACGUGAGGAUUUUGUUGUUCCAUUUUGGGAGGGGGUGGGAUGGGUGGUUCAUUUCUCACUGUUCUGUUUUUGGUUCUGGUGUUGAUGUGCACAGCUUUAGACCUGCCGCAUAGAUGUCCAAGAAGAGCUGGUUCAAAAAGCGUGGCUUUUGCAUUUUGUUCAGGCACAUCACUUACUGGGGAAAGCAUUCUCCCAGCUGAAAGAGGAAGCACUUCCAGCUCACAGAAUGUGAAAGGGGGCUUGAGAGAGAAGGAGGGGAGUGCGUGUUGCCUCCACCAGUGACUUGUAUUUUCGCAGCAACGUCCAAUUAGGAGAUAAACGCCAAUUUGCUCUUCUAAACCGAUUGUACUCACACCAACACUCAGAAAACGGGAGCCCACUUCGCUUAGCAGAGGAACACAUCCGCAGAAAAAGCUACCGGCUACAGAAGAGUCUUUGAGCUGACUUUCAGGCAUCCUUUCCAAUUUAUUUUCAAAAGGAUCUCUUACCUAAGUAUGUGUUUUUUCCCACACAUACAAACGAAACCAGCCAGAGUGGGUUUGUUUUUGUACAGAGAAGCAAGAACCUGUCAAAUCGAAAGAAGAGCUUACUCGGUACAUUGGAGACUCAGAAAGUGUGAGGCAGAUACUUCAGUAAUGAGGCAAUGAGAGCCACAGCCAGCCUUGGGAGCUGUACCAGAUGUGCUGCAGUCACAGCUGGCACGUGAGAAAAGACAGCUGGAAGGACAUGAAAAGCCAGGGGCCACAAAGGAGUAAUUAAGCAAGGUGACUUCCAGGCUCAGUGCAAUAGACGAAAGCCUUGUCAUGUUUGAACUUUGAGGAAUACUCUUUGCAUAGGAUCCAGUCAAAGUUAUGCCAACUGGUGGAGCUCCCUCCCUCCCUUCCUCCCUUCUCUCCUUUACCAAAUGUUUAUUGAGCAUUUCUUUUGUUGAAAGCCAUGUUCUGGGACUCUGGAGGGAGGUACUCAAAGCCAGCAGCCCACAGUGGAACCUUCAGUGACUUAAUUUUCUUGUACUUUCUCCCCCUCCCACACUGCCCCCUGCAGGCCCGUGCGCCAUUGUGUUCCGAUGGGUAUAGUAUCCCUCCCAUUCCUGGUGGACUAGGAUGGAAAGGAGAACUCUGUUCUAGGAAACCAUCUAAUAAGGUUUCCAGGAAAACCCAAAUUCUCCAGGUCUCAAAGGAAGGAGGCAUGAUGGCAGAGUUCCACUUAGCAAGCUUGCCCUUGUGGGACAGAAGCGGUGUCACCCAUGCACCCUCGUCGCUGUAAGAGCCUCUCAGAGUGGGGCCCGGGGAGUCUGACUUUGAGAAAGUCAUGGUGUCCGGGGACUGGCCUGCACUUACAGCUACAGGUCUCCUAUCAAGAGGUUCCUAUGAGACCCCAGCACAUUGUCAUAUUGCUCUCAUUUCUCUCUUCUUUUUUGUCCCUGGGUCCUGAGAUCAAUCUGAACGACUGGUGAAUGGAUAUCCUUACCUGUGUUUUAACUAAUUGCUCAUUAUUGAGUGAAAUGUAGUAUCUUCCUUCCCAUCAGCCCUCACCUCCUAAAUUCUCUUGAUUACAUUCCAAAGCCAUGUUCAGCUAGUUCCAACCUCAUCUCCACGCCUGCGUGACCCUGGGUGGGAGAUUUAACUUCUGGAUCUCAGCCCUUGCUUCUGCUAUCUGUUUUACAGGGUCACUAUUAAAAAGAACUAAAAUCACCUCGGCAUUUGGCACUGAGUCCACAGAAAGUAGGUAAAUGUUCAUUCUUUUCACUGCCCCCCUCCAAUCUCUUCCCCUCUGUUUCCAUGAAGUUUGCUCAAUUAUAUUUGACUUAGGUGAUGGGCUGCUUUGUAUAAAAGUUGGUGACAACUAGCCCUUUAAAGUGAUGGUGAGGAGUUCCUGUAGUGGCUCGGUGGUUAACAAAUCCGACUAGGAACCAUGAGGUUGCAGGUUCGAUUCCUGGCCUUGCUCUGUGGGUUAAGGAUCUGGCAUUGCCGUGAGCUGUGGUGUAGGUCGCAGAUGCAGCUUGGAUCCCGUAUUGCCGUGGCUCUGGCAGAGGCCAGUGGCUACAGCUCUGAUUCGACCCCUAGCCUGGGAACCUCCAUAUGCUGUGGGCGUGGCCCUAAAAAAGGCAAAAAGACAAAAAAAAAAAAAAACCUUGGGGGGGCUGCAAAGUGGGGAUAAGACAGGAAUCAUACUUGAUUUGCAUGUGCUCGUUCACCAGGGAGUUGCAAACAGUCAUUAUUUAUUAUCAGAUUCUAUCAUUUCAAAUAUUUACAAAGCAUUUAUCAAAUCAACACAACCAUGUUUCAGAAUAAAGUCAUCUUUCAGAAAUUUACCAUAGAAGAGAGUCACUGUAUUUCAGGAGACAAAAGGAAAUGAUAGAUGAUGAUAAACCAAGUUGCUACCCAAAGGGGAUAUAAAUAUGAUACAAAAGAACCCCAGAGAAUAAACAUGUGAUGUUGGUAAAGGAUUUGCUUGCUUUGGGUAGACCCUUGAGUGACUGCCAACAUCCAUCUAUGCACAAACUAAUAAAAUAUGUACACAUAAAGUGCAAAGUUUGGCAGACAUCUGUGAAAUAGCAGCUAGUGGAUAAUGAGUUAACACAUGCUCUGGAGAAAACCUCAUUUUUCUGACCUAUUUGUCAAUGAAGGAUAACAAAGAAGAUCCUACAAGAAGCAAAGAGAAAUUCUACCUCUUACCAAAAUCAUCUAUUGCCUGGUCUAUAGCACCACCAGGCACCUAAGCCACAAAAGCACCAGAGUAGGACCAGCCACCCCUAAACUGGCCAUUGCCCCCUUCCUGGGACCAGCUGGAACAAACCCAGAAGCAAAUCUUCAGAUAGCCUCCUGCUUUGAGCCCUGCUCAGCACAACAAUAUUUCUGUAAUUCCACGCUCUUAGGGAAAGAAAUGUAUCUUCACCUGCAUUUUAUUUUGAACCAAAUACACUUUGGGAAAAUCCAAAAGAAAGGGUUAUUCCCUGCCUCCCCCUUCCCUAAGCAAUGUCUUACAGCUUAAUUAAAGACAGUCAUGACUCUAGGGACAGAAAACAGGUUCACAUUCUAAACCAGCUAUAGCAUAACAUGUUCCCUCCCCAAGCAGGAAUCAGGAAAAACAGAGAGAGCGCAAGCCGGGCCUUCUGAAGGUCACCACACCAAGGGAAGUUGAUGCAACUCACCUCCAAUUUUAAAAAGAGGCAGAAAAAACCAGAAGCAGCAGUUGCUGGUCCACUGAGCUGUAUUGGUAUUUGGUCAGGGAGACAGGCCUGCAAAGAUUAUGAAGGUCCCACAUUAGCAAUACACAACAUAGGCAGAGCAAACCAAACAGGGCUUGCUGGUGUGCUGACUGGGACACACACACUCAUCAGAUACACUUUCUUUAAAGAGAUGUCCACAGGAGUUCCUGUUGUGGUACAACAGAAAUGAACCACACUAGUAUCCAUGAGGACUCAAUCCCUGGCCUUGCUCAGUGGGUUACGAAUCAGGCGUUGCCGUGAGCUGCGGUGUGGGUCACAGACGUGGGUAGGAUCUGGUGUUGCUGUGGCCAUGGUAUAGGCCAGCAGCUUUAGCUCAGAUUCAACCUCUAGCCUGGGAACCUCCAUAUGCCACAGGUAUGGCCUUUAAAAAAAAAGAGAGAGAGGUGUCCCCAAAUGAAAAACACUGAUUUCUCUCAGCAAAUUUGAACUUCUCUAACCUUCUGCUCUGAAAGCACUGUGGGACAAAUCUGAGCAAGCCCACACUUCCUUUCACUAAGUGGGACAUGCCAUCUUUUGACAGGAAGACUUUCUCAUGCUUUCCAAAACAACAGAUGAUGGCAUGGUUACGGCUUGAGGUAUCAGGCACAGAGUCAGAAUCCCUAAACCUCUCCGUGCUGUCUAUCCCUGAUUAUAAUCGGGUAAGA
ensembl:lncRNA